UUUUGUCACCAAAACGUGACAAAAUGAUUCCCACUGAAGUCCUGAAAUCAGGGAAGAAAGCUCAUUAGCCUGUUUCUGACGGCUGCUGAACAUUCCUGGCUUCCCAGGAAAGAAUUCAGAGCAGCAUGUGCUCAGCGUAUCUCAGAAAGGAGGAGAUGAAGAGAGGCAUUACUUCUGAAGUACACUUGCUGUUACCAUUUCCUUACAGUCAAUAAUGUAAAAGUGACUAUCUCUGUUUGCAUCACCUUCCUGCUGGCUUGGUGGCUGUGAUUGCUCCAAUGGAGGCAUCCAUAGAGGAGAUAUCCACGGCAAGGAGGAAGGCUCAAAGGUGGCGGCUGCAAGGGGAACGGAAAAGGAAAGGAUUUUUGUGAUUUU
rnacentral:lncRNA from 1 species